GCCUAAUACAUGCAAGUCAAACGGGUGUAGCAAUACACAAGUGGCGAACGGGUGAGUAACACAUAGACAACUUGUCCUUAAGACGAGGAUAACAGUUGGAAACGACUGCUAAAACUGGAUAGGAUAAAGUAACGCAUGUUAAGAUAUUUAAAGAUGCUUUUGGGCAUUACUUAAGGAGGGGUCUAUGUCGCAUUAGCUAGUUGGUGAGGUAAGGGCUCACCAAGGCGACGAUGCGUAGCUGUGCUGAGAGGCAAAACAGCCACACUGGGACUGAGACACGGCCCAGACUCCUACGGGAGGCAGCAGUAGGGAAUUUUCGGCAAUGGGGGGAACCCUGACCGAGCAAUGCCGCGUGAAUGAAGACGAUCUUCGGAUUGUAAAGUUCUGUUAUUGCGAAAGAAAGAUAUGGCGAGGAAAUGCGUUAUAUUUGACGGUACCUGAUGAGAAAGCCCCGGCUAACUAUGUGCCAGCAGCCGCGGUAAUACAUAGGGGGCAAGCGUUAUCCGCGAAUUAUUGGGCGUAAAGAGUGCGUAGGCGGAUGAUUAAGUCUGGUGUAAAUCCACAGCUUACUGUGGAGGGUCAUUGGAAACUGGUCAACUAGAGUACGGUAGAGGUAAGCGGAAUCCAAGUGGAGCGGUAAAAUGCGUAGAUAUUUGGAGGAACACCAGUGGCGAAGGCGACUUACUGGGCCGGGACUGACGCUGAUGCACGAAAGCGUGGGGAGCAAACAGGAUUAGAUACCCUGGUAGUCCACGCCGUAAACGAUGAGCACUAAGUGUCGGAGUAAAAUUCGGUGCUGCAGUUAACACAGUAAGUGCUCCGCCUGGGGAGUACGGUCGCAAGACUGAAACUCAAAGGAAUUGACGGGGACUCGCACAAGCGGUGGAGCAUGCGGUUUAAUUCGAUGCAACGCGAAGAACCUUACCAGGUCUUGACAUACUGUUGCUGGGGUUAGAGAUAAUCCGUUUCUUCGGAACAACAGAUACAGGUGGUGCAUGGUUGUCGUCAGCUCGUGUCGUGAGAUGUUGGGUUAAGUCCCGCAACGAGCGCAACCCUUAUCAUUAGUUGCUAACAGUAAGAUGAGCACUCUAAUGAGACCGCCGGCGCAAGCCGGAUGAAGGUGGGGAUGACGUCAAAUCAUCAUGCCCCUUAUGACCUGGGCUACACGCGUGCUACAAUGGCUAGUACAAAAGAGCUGCGAAGCCGCGAGGUGGAGCUAAUCUCACCAAGCUAGUCUCAGUUCGGAUUGUAGUCUGCAACUCGACUACAUGAAGUUGGAAUCGCUAGUAAUCGUGAAUCAGCAUGUCACGGUGAAUACGUUCUCGAGUCUUGUACACACCGCCCGUCACACCAUGAGAGUUUAUAAUACCCGAAGCCGGUGGCCUAACCGCAAGGGGGGAGCCGUCUA
rnacentral:rRNA from 1 species